UCAUUCAUCUCAGAGCAACAACAAUGGGAAUACCUUCGUUUUACAGAUGGUUAGUGGAGAAGUUCCCUCGCACUGUAAUCGAUGCCCCAAUCAAUGGCUUGGACUUCGACAAUCUCUACCUCGACAUGAAUGGCAUCAUCCACCCCUGUUUUCACCCUCAAGGACUGCCAGCUCCGAAGACCUACGAUGAGGUUUUUCAAGCGGUUUUUAAGUAUAUUGAUAAGCUUUUAUCUGUUGCUAAACCCAAAAAGCUACUCUUCCUUGCAAUUGAUGGUGUUGCUCCUCGAGCUAAGAUGAACCAGCAAAGGUCGCGACGAUUCAGGACUGCUAAGGAUGCGGCUGAGGAGGCUGCUUGGAAAGUGAAGCUUAAAAAUCAGUCAAUAGAAGAUUCUUGUAAACUUGAUUCAAAUGUCAUCACACCUGGGUCUGAAUUCAUGGCAUUGUUGUCUUCAGCCCUUCGCUAUUACAUUUACUUGAGAAUGAAUGAGGAUCCAAACUGGCAGGGAAUCAAGGUCAUACUUUCGGAUGCCAGUGUACCGGGCGAGGGGGAGCAUAAGAUAAUGUCUUACAUUCGUUUGCAAAGAAACCUGCCUGGAUUUGAUCCAAAUACAAGGCAUUGUCUAUAUGGAUUGGAUGCAGAUCUUAUCAUGCUUGCUCUAGCAUCCCAUGAGGUCCAUUUUUCUAUCUUGAGAGAGGAUGUCAUGAAGGAUAAAUUUGUAAAAUCCAAGUACAUGAAUAAGAGAAACGGUACGGGCUUGUUGAAAGGGAAUCUAGAUAGCUAUAUCUCAAACCAGAAAUUUCAGUUUCUUCACAUUUGGAUCCUCAGGGAGUAUUUAGCAUAUCUUAUGGAAAUCCCAGAUGUUAAAGGAGAUUUGGAGCGCCAAAUUGAUGAUUUCGUUUUGAUGUGUUUGUUUGUGGGAAAUGACUUUCUACCUCACAUUCCGUCGUUGGAAAUAUCUGAGGGGGCUAUUGAAUUACUUCUGACAAUCUAUAAAAUGGAAUUUGUAACAAUGGGUGGUUACCUGACAAAUUCUUUUGAGGUAAAUUUGGAAAGGAUGAAGCAUUUUUUAGGAGUGGUGGGAUCUUAUGAAGGAUUAAUCUUGCAAAAACGUGUCCAGGUAGAAAAUGAAUGGGCUAUCCGUGAUCAACGUUAUUCACAGAAUAAAACUGUUACAGAGACAUCUUUGGGUUCAAAGUCAGUAAAUUCAAGUGCUAUGAUGAAGCAAGCACCAGACAAUACAACAUCAGUUAGCACAUCUACUGAAGUUAAAAAGAUUAAUUUUGGGGAAAAUGAUUGGAAGGAAAAAUACUACUUGGAAAAGUUCAAGGUUGAAACUGAAAAUGAUCGUCUGAAUGUUCGGAACGAUUUGGUGUUGAAAUAUACGGAAGGGAUUUGCUGGGUCAUGCAUUAUUAUUACGAAGGAGUCUGUUCCUGGCAAUGGUACUAUCCCUAUCACUAUGCUCCAUGUGCUUCAGAUUUUGUUGGUAUUGAUGAGUUAAAGAUUCAAUUCACACUUGGGGUACCCUUUAAACCAUUUGAUCAGUUGAUGGCCGUACUUCCUGCUGCAAGUGCACAUGCUCUUCCGGUGUCUUAUAGGAAGCUUAUGACUGAUGCAUCAUCACCUUUGUUGGCUUUUUAUCCAACAGAUGUUGAGCUGGAUAUGAAUGGGAAACGGUUUUCUUGGCAAGCCAUCUACAAGCUUCCAUUUAUCGAGGAAACCAUCCUUCUCUCAGAAAUUGCCAGAGUAGAAAAUGAAUUGACGGAAGAGGAGCGUCAAAGGAACAAAUUGGGUAUGGAUGUGUUGUUUGUUCAUGUGACUUAUCCUUUAGCAAUGAAUAUACUUUCUUUCUAUAGAAGUAAUGUUGAUCAUUUGAGCUUGAUCGAUACUCAAAUCAAACAGGAAAUUGUUCCAGAAUCCAGUGAUGGGAUGAAUGGUUACAUUUUUGUUUCUAAUAUACCAGUGCAGCCUGAGCAAAUAUAUUCACCAAUUGAUGGCAUGGAUAUGAUCGCUGACAAUAAAGUCUUGUCCGUGUUCUACAAUUCUCCUGCCUUCCAUGCUCACAUUCCUAGAGCACCAAAUGGAGUUCAUUAUCCGAAAAAGUCUAUCUUCAGGAGGCAUGUUAAACCCACACCAUUUCUUUGGCAUGAGAAGUCUUCUGUUGUUGGACGAUUGCAUUCUCUAAGGCCCAUUCACAUGUCUAUCUCUGGCUCUCGUCUUUCAAACUCAGCUCGUCUACUUGUGACGAAGUGGUAUCUUGAAAUUGAGAAGCAACGAAAGAGCAAGGGAGAUGUAGAGCUUCAUGGAGCUAAAACUACUGAUGGGAGUCAUGCUGCUGCUGAGGGCGAAAGCAUCAAUGGUAAAACUAUGAAACGUAUAGCUAGGGCCCGCAGACAAAAGGAGAAACGGGCCCGCAGACAAAAGGAGAAACGAAUGGCUGAACUCGGGGCUAUGCAUGUGGGUGAAAAGGGGCCUGCAUCCAUUCCAAUGACACAAGAAGCAGUAUCUGUAGAUGCAGGCCUUGUUGAAAGUGCAAUUGUCGAUGUGAGUCAUGCUGCUGCUGAGGGCGAAAGCAUUAAUGGUAAAACUAUUGAUGGGAGUCAUGCUGCUGCUGAGGGCGAAAGCAUCAAUGGUAAAACUGUGAAACGUAUAGCUAGGGCCCGCAGACAAAAGGAGAAACGGGCCCGCAGACAAAAGGAGAAACGAAUGGCUGAACUCGGGGAUAUGCAUGUGGGUGAAAAGGGGCCUGCAUCCAUUCCAAUGACACAAGAAGCAGUAUCUGUAGAUGCAGGCCUUGUUGAAAGUGCAAUUGUCGAUGUGAACAUUGGUAAAAGUGGACGUGAACAGAAUGAUAUUAUCCACGUUGGCAAAAAGGAACCUGCAUCCACUCCAGAGACACAAGAAGCAGUGUUUAUAGAUGCAAGUUGUGGUGAAAGUGCAACUGUAGAUGCAAAAUGUAAAAGUGAUAUCAUCCACGUGGGCGAAAAAGAGGCUGCAUCCACUCCUAAGACACAAGAAGAAGCAUUAUCUAUAGAAGCAAGCCUUGGUGAAACUGCAACUGUAGAUGCCGGUGUUGACAGCAAAGGCAUCAAUUGUAAAACAAGGAAACGAAGAAGAAAACAUGAAAGUGGACGUGAACAGAGUGGUAUUAUCCAUGCCGGCAAAAAGGAGCCUGCAUCCACUCCAAAGACAGAAGAAGCAGUGUUUAUAGAUGCAGGGUGUGGUGAAAGUGCAACUGUAGAUGGAAAACGUGAAAGUGAUAUUAUCCAUUUGGGCGAAAAAGAGGCUGCUUCAACUCCUAAGACACAAGAAGAAACAUUGUCUAUCGAUGCAGGCCUUGGUGAAAGUGCUGGUGCUGAGAGCAAAGGCAUCGAUAAUAGUAAAACUAAGAAACGCAGACGAAAGAGUAAAAGUGGACGUGGACAAAGCGAUAUUAUCCAUGUCGGCGAAAAGGAGCCUGCAUCCACACCAAAGACAGAAGAAGCAGUGUUUAUAGAUGCAGGGUGUGGUGAAAGUGCAACUGUAGAUGGACAAUGUAAAAGUUAUAUUAUCCAUUUGGGCGAAAAAGAGGCUGCUUCAACUCCCAAGACACAAGAAGAAACAUUAUCCAUCGAUGCAGGCCUUGGUGAAAGUGCUGGUGCUGAGAUCAAAGGCAUCAAUGAUGGUAAAACUAGGAAACGAAGACGAAAGAGUAAAAGUGGACGUGAACAAAGUGAUACUAUCCAUGUCGGUGAAAAGGAGCCUGCGUCCACUCCAAAGACAGAAACAGCAGUGUUUAUAGAUGCAGGGUGUGGUGAAAGUGCAACUGUAGAUGGAAAACUUGAAAGUGAUAUUAUCCAUUUGGGCGAGAAAGAGGCUGCUUCCACUCCUAAGACACGAGAAGAAACAUUAUCUAUCAAUGCAGGCCUUGGUGAAAUUGCUGGUGCUGAGAGCAAAGGCAUCGAUAAUGGUAAAACUAGGAAACGCAGACGAAAGAGUGAAAGUGGACGUGGACAAAGCGAUAUUAUCCAUGUCGGCGAAAAGGAGCCUGCAUCCGCACCAAAGACAGAAACAGCAGUGUUUAUAGAUGCAGGGUGUGGUGAAAGUGCAACUGUAGAUGGAAAACGUGAAAGUGAUAUUAUCCAUUUGGGCGAAAAAGAGGCUGCUUCAACUCCCAAGACACAAGAAGAAACAUUAUCCAUCGAUGCAGGCCUUGGUGAAAGUGCUGGUGCUGAGAUCAAAGGCAUCAAUGAUGGUAAAACUCGGAAACGAAGACGAAAGAGUAAAAGUGGACGUGAACAAAGUGAUACUAUCCAUGUCGGCGAAAAGGAGUCUGCAUCCAGUCCAAAGACAGAAACAGCAGUAUCUAUUGAUGCAGGGCUUGAAAAGGAGCCUGCAUCCAAUCCAAAUAUUGGAGAACCAGCAAUGAUUUCGAACACAGGAGAAAGAACAACAUCUGGAGGUGACAAUAGGUGAAGAUGGAUUGACAAGCCUUCCAAAUCCCAACGAAAUUGCAGGCGAUGACAACAAGUGCCUUAGUAUUAUUCCGGAACCGAAACCAAAGAAAAGAAGAAGAAAAAAGGCAAAGGUGACUGGUAAUUGAGUGUCUCCUCUUGGCUUGGUGAGUCGAAGUCAGCUUCGAUUUGGCUUUGAGUCCAGCAAUGGUCAGCGUGGAUGGAAUGGGAAUGUCUAUGACGUUUGAGAGUGAUGAGUUCUGAAGCAUGUUAGGGCAUGUUAGGGCAUCAGCUCUGCCCACGGACCACCACGAUUUGGAACUCUUCUUGAAUUGUCUCAGCCACCACUUUCUUCUCCUCUCUAUCUCUCUCUCCAAAUGUUUUUUAUCGGGUUUCAUAAAAAUAGAAUCUUUGGCUUUUGGGUCUAAUGAAUUUAUGAAAUUGAGACAGAAGAAGAAGAAGAUGAUAGGUGUUUUGCUCUUA